CGGCUCGUAAAGCUCUGUUGGUAGUGAAGAAAGAUAGAGGUAGUAACUGGCCUUUAUUUGACGGUAAUUACUUAGAAAGUCACGGCUAACUACGUGCCAGCAGCCGCGGUAAUACGUAGGUGGCAAGCGUUGUCCGGAUUUAUUGGGCGUAAAGCGAGUGCAGGCGGUUCAAUAAGUCUGAUGUGAAAGCCUUCGGCUCAACCGGAGAAUUGCAUCAGAAACUGUUGAACUUGAGUGCACAAGAGGAGAGUGGAACUCCAU
rnacentral:rRNA from 1 species